UAGAAUCCUUUGCAGACG
rnacentral:snRNA from 1 species